rnacentral:tRNA from 5 species
GGAGGGAUGGCUGAGUGGUCGAAAGCGGCGGUCUUGAAAACCGUUGAGGGUAACACCUCCGUGGGUUCGAAUCCUACUCCCUCCGCCA